UAUAUGGAGUAAAAAUGAUCACAAAAUGGAGUUACACAUACAAGUCUCACAAAAUGGAGUAAAAUAGGUUCCUGGAGUACUGAACAGUUUCAGAAUACUCCCUGUUGUACUGAAAGUUUCAGCAACUGUACAUUGGAUUUAAAUUUUUAUUCCAGAGUUGAAAGCCAAGAACACAAAUUAUGCUACUCCAGUACUAACACAAGGAGUACAAGCAUUUCACUCAAGCAAAAUUGCACUAACAGAGCACUACUCACAUUCCUCUCUUGCCUGUUGCUACUACUGCAAGCACUAACAGAGUACAGCAAGCAUCACAGCCAACAAGCAAAAUUCCAGAUGCAAAUCUUGCUGGAGUGCUUCACUUUUCAUAGCUGCACAGAAUAAAAAAACAGUUUCAGUAGCAGCAAACAAACUAAGACUAGCACAUAAACUUGCUGAUGUACUCCACUUUUCUUUUCUUUUCAGUUAACAAAGAAUUAAGCACACUCACUCGCAAAAUUAUUCCUAACAGAGCACUACUGACAUUAACAAAGGGAGGCACAGCCUGAAUAUAUGUCACUACACUUGACGUCUUGAUUUGCCAGUGGAAUCAGAAUCAAAUCAGAUAUGUCAAACACAUAUGUCAAACAGCAUAUGGACUUAUCAUGCUGGUUUUUGGAUGAUUUAGUUAAUCAAAUUGACAUCAAUUGACCUGUUUUUUGGAUCAACUGCAGAUUCUCUUGAUUGGAGUGGAGAGGAGCAGCAGAAGUGGACAGCGCAGCGGCUGACCUCGAGCUCUUGAUUGGAGUGGG
rnacentral:lncRNA from 1 species